rnacentral:rRNA from 1 species
UGAGGAAUAUUGGUCAAUGGACGUAAGUCUGAACCAGCCAAGUAGCGUGCAGGAUUGACGGCCCUAUGGGUUGUAAACUGCUUUUGUUGGGGAGUAAAGUUGGGCACGCGUGCCUUUUUGCAUUUACCCUUCGAAUAAGGACCGGCUAAUUCCGUGCCAGCAGCCGCGGUAAUACGGAAGGUCCAGGCGUUAUCCGGAUUUAUUGGGUUUAAAGGGAGUGUAGGCGGUCUGUUAAGCGUGUUGUGAAAUUUAGGUGCUCAACAUCUACCUUGCAGCGCGAACUGGCGGACUUGAGUGCACGCAACGUAUGCGGAAUUCAUGGUGUAGCGGUGAAAUGCUUAGAUAUCAUGACGAACUCCGAUUGCGAAGGCAGCGUACGGGAGUGUUACUGACGCUUAAGCUCGAAGGUGCGGGUAUCGAACAGGAUUAGAUACCCUGGUAGUCCGCACGGUAAACGAUGGAUGUCCGCUGUUAGCGCCUGGCGUUAGCGGCUAAGCGAAAGCAUUAAGCAUCCCACCUGGGGAGUACGCCGGCAACGGUG